UGUUACUUACAGAGGGUAAAAUUUGUUUUGAAAGCAAAUAAGAGGUGUUCGAUUCACUUAGUAAUAU
rnacentral:tRNA from 1 species